rnacentral:tRNA from 1 species
UAAGACUUGUGAAUUCUACUACACAUCUCCUGAAUGCAACUCAAACACUUUCAUUAAGCUAAAGC